rnacentral:tRNA from 1 species
AGAUAAGAAGCGAUAAAUUGCAUUCAGUUUCGACCUGAUAUGAGGUAUAAAUACCCUUAUUUA